GCCAGCGGCGAGCACUGGCUUGCUUCACAGUGAACGCCUUCGUUGCCUGGCGACUAGUCCCUGCGGCUUAGCGGAGAGGGGGCGUCGGCGUUGGGCUCUCGCCUGUCUUCUCUGGGGGGAUCCUCGGGAUACUCCCACGAUCUAGGACAGGGCAGGGGCGAGCCAGCCUGAGGAAACGUCAAGGGAAGGCCCAGGGAUACACCGCGAAAUCCCUAAGAAUCCAAAAGGAUCCGCAGGAGGCGUCAGGCCUGCCUAGACGGAGUGGGUAGCACUUAGCACCUGCCCGCCCUCCACCUUCUCCACCACCCAGCAGGAGCGGGGCGGCCUGGAUCUGUUUUCUGCCCCUGACCAGGGGGCCGCGUCUUCGGCAAAGUCUUCGGGGUGAGAGGUCCGGCUCCUGGAGGACAGCGGGAUGGGAGAGUCCCGUUCACACCCAGCCCCGCAGAGCCGGAUAGAAACGCUGCCACUGCCGACUCCAUGCUGCCGGGAAGUGCACUGUGGAGGCCACUUUCUGGAAAGAAGAAACCGUCUGAACACAAAGUUGCUCAAGCCAUGUUCAUCUAUCUGCCAGGGAAACGGAGGCCCUGAGUGCCAGAGUCCAAGUCACCCUGCAAGAGAAAACUCUGGUGGAGCCCAGGGUGUCCAGCCCCUGUCCACCCAGCCGCCGUGGUCAAGGUUAAUAAGGGCAAGGGGCCAAGCAGAACCGCCUACAAGGAACCGAGUGUCCACAAAGCAGGAAGCGAAGAACGUUUCUCCUACCUAGAGCGCAGCCGUUUUGCGGAAGGCACAGUCCGGGCUCCGGGAGCCAAGCAGGGAUCCGGGCCUCGUUGCGGAGGGGACGCCCGGGCUGAGCUGAGCUCACUUGCUGGCGGCGGCAGCCCCUGCAGUCAUGGGGUCACCGGCUUGUGGAGAGGGGCUGGCGCUGUUCCUUGGCCCCGCUCCCCGCCCGCAAAGGGCCGGGAGGUCGGGCUCCCGGCAGUGUCCAGGCUCUCGCCCGCCGGUGCCUGAGCCGUACCCACCGCGUCCCCUCCGCCCCAACAGCUGGUGCUGAGGGUCCGGCCCGGGGUCAUCUGGCAGGGCCGUGCGGCUCCUGCGGGUGACCAGGAGCGCGGAGCCCCUUCCCACUCGGGCUCGGGUGGCCUCACCUUUCCUGGGGCUGCGUCCCCGCGGGACGCCAGGUUCCCGGUUUCUUCUAGGUCGCCCUGGUUCCUGGCAGCUCCUGGUGCCACGCGGUCCUCUACGGUCUCCUCUGACCUGAGAGGGACAGUGAGAUGGGGCUGGCGGGGAUGGGGGUCCCCGCGCUGUUGGAAAGCAGCGGGGCUGCUGCUGACCGGAGCCGCCUGGGUCUGUUCUGGAACCGUCGCCCUGGGGCCCCUCCGCCCCGCAAACGCUCGGGAUGCGGUUUGGGAGUGUAGCUGGACACCGAGCACCAUCCACGCUCAGCCCCACGGGGCUCCAGGAGUCCCGAGCCCAAGCCCCUGCACUUGCAUUUUAUUUAAAAAACCUGAGGGUUAAAUUCGGGCAAGUCAGUUGCCUCAGUGUUUGUCGCCUGCUGCCUCUAUGUCGGCUUCUUUUGCUGGCAGUCAGAGACCAAGCCCCCACGCCCUCCAGGACCCUCUAUCUGGUGAGGCCACCUCUGCAAUCAUGAGCAGCACUGAGGUGCUUCCGACCAGGGGUCACUGCCCCAGCCGGUGAGAGGCCCUGCAGUGGGGACUGGAGAUGUGCGACGCAGCCUCCCAGAGCCCGCAUCCUCUUGCCCAAGGAGGCUGCACACCCUCACUCAGGGCUGUGAGGGGGAAUGAGGGCAGCUCACAGGCUAAGGGGCCGCUGAAGACAGGUUUUGUGGACAGGUGAUUUAGGAGCCUGGAGGAAGCAGGUUAGGGGUGUGUGUGUGUGUGUGUGUGUGUGUGUGUGUGAGAGAGAGAGAGAGGGAAUUCUCCCAUGCCAGGACAUCUGCGUGUCUCAGUAGAGUAGGAGUGAACAGCAGCAUCCCUGCAGAGGAGCAGCAUGUGGACAGAGUCACAGGCUGGCUGGAUCACAACAAAUCCUUGUGGGUCAAGGAGAGCAGGUUCCGUGAUCAGCUGCGGUCUGGGUUUUGUGUUUGCCUUUUCCUGCUGUUCCAAUAAGCCAGGGCACUGGGGCCAGAUUGCCCUCAGCCAUGGCCAAGGGUUCCCUGACAAGCUGGGGAGGACGAACUCCCUUCCCAACACAGGGACAUAGAAGAUCAGAGCAGCCUGCCCAGUGGGGAUCUGAGCUCAGAGAGUGGAAGCCACUGUCUCAGAGUCACAGAGCAGGUCAGUGGCAGGUCCCAUGUCCCUGACCCCCAAGCUCUAUUUCUCUGAGGAAAUAUUCCAUCCAAGAGCAUGAGAGUCCUCUGAGCAUGGACUCCCUGGCAGGUGAGGUCAUUUUACCUGUUAUCUGUUUUCAUCCUCAUUGUGUGUGUGGUUUGUAUCAGUGUCCCCAUUGUAAGGCAGAAAACAGGCUCAGUGAUGGGGCAAAGGCUGGUGCAAGGCUACAGAGCUCAGAAGUGGCUGAGGUGAGACAAGAACCAGCAGGCUUCCUUCACCGUUGCUCUGCUCCAUCUGGAGGUUGGACAAUUUGCCUGUGUGCCAACAGCCACAAGCCUUUGUUGGCUCAGGGUAGAUAUGAAAACCUGGAAACCAUGAAGCUUUCAGCCCCACUCAUUUCUGCAGGGGCAGAUGGCUGUGCUUGGCCUGGGCUCCCCAUUGCUCAAAAUAGAGCCUCCUCUUUCUGCCAGUGGUCCCAGAAAUGAGUCACAGGUGGGUGAGGUUGCAGCCAGGCCUGGGCAGGAUGAUGUCUUCUGGGCUAGGCUGAAAACUCAAGCCUUGCAGCUGGACAAGUUAUGACUUUGGUUCUGCCUCAGUCACUCCGAGGCUGGACAACUCUGGCCAUAUCUCUCUGUAAGCUGUGGUUUCCUUAUCUUUAAAAUGGAGACAAUGGCACCUCUCUCCCAGAGUAGCCACUGGGGCUUAAUAAAGCCUCAGCAUGAGAAGAUGGUGUAUUUGUAUUUGUGAGUUUUCCUUGGUCUAUGGUGACCUUCCUGUGGGUAAGAACCAAGUAUCACUUGGCUCAGGACCCAGACAGGCACAGCACAGCCAGAACCAGAGGGGCCUAGGCCUGGGUAUGAUUGGAAUCCAGGCAUCUGGCCCAGUUUUUCUGGCUCUGUCUCCUUCCCCAUCUUUUCCAAACUGGUCCAAGGAUCAGAUUUGCCAUGUCACCCAGACAUCGUUGUGGCCCUGUCUGAACAAGCAGCAUCAGAAUUUCUCUGGUGCCAGCUGGAUGACUCAGAGAGAAAAACUGGUCACCAAUUUCUGCUUCAAGUGGGUAGGGAAGAAAGCUACCACUUGCAGCUACUUAUUAUGUAUCACCAGCCAGGCACUUUUCCUACUUAGUGGUCACCUCAGCUAAGUCAUAAAGACACAGAAAAGAGUGCCUUGCCCCAGGUUCACAGCUGAUAAGUGGGGUGUGGGAGAGGAGGUGCUGAAAUCCACAUUUAUCUAAACCUUUCAGACCCAUGUGCAUUUCUCCAUUUUUACCACAUUGUCCCCUCCUUGGUGACAGCCUGGGCUGCUGCUCCUGCCUCUCACUGGCCUCUCUGCCUCCAAGCUGCCUGUGCCUUAGGAAGCUCCAUGUUGCACUUUCAAACCAGCAGCCCAAUCCAUCCCUCACCUACUUGUGCCUUUCAAUGACUCUCAUUGUCCUCAGAAAAUGACCCUGGCUCCUAGGUGUCCACACCUCUGUGGCCCUGAGCAGGCUGACAGAAAUAAAACUGCAUGCCUCCUUUCCUUCCAGUGAAAAGAAAUCACUGGAUAUUGCAACAAAAUUUAAACUUAUCAUUUGGGAGAAAUCAGAGUAUCCUCUUUCAUAGACAAAAAAAACAGUAUUCAACCCUAAAAGGAAAGAAAACAAUUCUCUUGAAUGCUGCCACACUUGGAAAAACAAUGGAAAAUAAACACUGGAACCAGCUAGACCUGCCAGAGUUGCUGAGGGAGGAUUAAAUGAGUUAUUAUGUAAUUUGCUUAGCAACAGUGCUUGGCUCAUAGUUAGUGCUCAGUAAUAUCAGCUAUUCUUUUUUUUAUUGUAAAUAGAAGAGAAGCUAGGAAUGAAUCCAUGACCUUGGAUGGGCAUCCUCUGUCUUCCCCAGGACAGGGGUUCAGUGUCAUUUUCCAGGAACCUAAUGAAGCAGCCUUGUUCUUCUGGGGUGAUACCCGAGAUUUGUUGCCUAAUGGUCAUAAAAAACUAGGAUGUGGACACACAAGAGUGAGGUUAAGAGCAGAAGUUUAAUAGGUGGAAGAAAGAGAAAAGCUCCCUGUGCUGCAGAGAGAGGGGUCCCAAAUGGGCUGCAGGAUCCACAGUGAAAUGCAUGGGAUUUUAUAGAUGCCUGAUGAGGGGGGCGGUGUUUGAUUUACACAGGGCACGAAAGAUUGGUUGGACCAGGUAUGUCAUUUGCAUGGAGCAUGAAAAAUUGGUUAGAGGUAUGUCAUUUGCAUGGAUUACGGAAAAUUUGCAUAGGUGGCAAAUUUGUGUCCACUCCCACCCUAAUCUUGUAUUAUGUAAGUGGGUCUUAAGUGGGUCUUCUUCCUGAGCUGCAUCAUAUUGCCCAUUCCUUUACUCUACAUGUAGUAACAACAACAACAACAAAAAUGGAGCCUCUGUGUUGGACAUGCCUGGCCCACAGGUAGCCCUUUUCUAUUGGCACAGCUGCCGGCAUUCACCCUUCCAAGCUUCCAGCUUGCUUAUCUAUGUUUGCAGCUCCAUUUUUCAGGCUGAUCUUUGUUAGUAAAGAAAAAAAAAAAUUUGUCUUCCUUUUGCUAAAGGGAAGCUCUGCCAAGUACUCUUUUAUGCUCACUGUCUGUCAAAUAUUUUUUUUCUACUUUCUGUAUCAUUAAGACUCAUCAUCACUCAGAGACAACCAAACACUGUGACAUUUUGAUAUAACCCUUUCCAAAAGUGUAUAUUUUUCACAGUUUUGAGCACGCAUUGCAUACCAUUUUUUCACUGAACACAAUCUAUCAUGAACAUCUUUCCAUAACUUAAAAGAAGCUGCAUGCCAGAACAGUCCAUCAUGUUCUGUUUUCUUUCAGAAAUCUUUAGAGAUGGAUCAUUUUCCUUACAAGAAUAGAUACCAGGUAAGAGAAGCAGCCUUUAAAGCAGCGAAUAGCAGCUCAUGCAUGCUAAUUAUUUGCUUACUUCUCUGGCUCCCCUAUUGAUGGCAUCUUGAGGGCCGGUAUGAACAUGUCAUGCAGUCUCCAAGCAACCCACAGUAGGCCCACCAUAAACAGAUGUUGUGGCCAGCAUGGGAGGUGCAAUGGUGAGUUGCUCUGUUUCCUCCCUCCCGUCCCCCUCCCCACCCCUCCCCUCCCCCUCCCCUCCCCCUCCCCUCCCUUCCCCUUCCCUUCCCUUCCUCUCUCACAAAACAGUCACAGAGAGAGGACAGCAGCGUACAUGGUGAGGUGCUGACGAUUCUGGUCCACUGGAUCCCACCAUCCCUAGGACAGUAAAUACCGUCCUAGUCACUACCCAGCAAGUUACCACCGCAUCAUUUCCUGCAUGUUCCAAAAUGAAUAAAGACGGAAUCUUGCUCUGUCGCCCAGACUGGAGUGCAGUGGCGCAAUCUCAGCUCACUUCAAGCUCUGCCUCCCAGUUUCACGCCAUUCUCCUGCCUCAGCCUCCCGAGUAGCUGGGACUACAGGCGCCCGCCACCACACCCAGCUAAUUUUUUGUAUUUUUAGUAGAGACGGGGUUUCACUGUGCUGGCCAGCAUGGUCUCGAUCUCCUGAGCUCGUGAUCCACCCGCCUCGGCCUCCCAAAGUGCUGGGAUUACAGGCAUGAGCCACCGUGCCCAGCCAAAAAGCUGAUGUGUUUUAAGCAAAAUAAGCAUACGCAUCAAUAGUAAA
rnacentral:lncRNA from 1 species